AAAUACAUAAAAUGAAACAAUAUUGUAAAAGUAACUUCAAUGCAAUUUUAUAGUAUUUUAAAAAGCAUCUGUUGAACUCACAAAUCUUCAUUUUUAUUAAGUCUGUAUGAAUGAAAAACCUUUCCUGUGCCCCAACUUAAGAUUGACCAAUGUAAAACAAGGUCCCCACUUUGAAUUGAGUUUCCUGUGGCUGCAUGUGGACAUUUUGCAUCUCUGUGAAUCAGUAUAAAUUGUCCUAUCAAUCACUUCUGGAAAUAGAAUCAACUUCUGUCAUUCUGGACAUGGUAAGGACAUGUGCAACCUAUCUACAUCUGCAUGUUGAAAGUUCUGUAAAUAAGUUACAUAAACAAACAGAAGAUGGACUCAGUGAAGUGAUCCAGAUGAAGAUUUCCAAGGGUCAACAAUAAAUGCACAAAUGCAAAAAGAUACAGUGAGCUCUGAAGUGGACGGAAAUGACAGGAAGAGUUAAAAGAUAUUGUAACUGUACU